UCGUGAAGCAGAUAGCCGGGAGCCCCGAGAUGCCGGGAGGAAGAGUGCCGGGAAGAGGCGGAGGAGGCGCCGGCUGGAUCGUGCCAUCCGGGUACGUCCAGUCGGUCGUCGGGUAGCAGACCUCGAGGAGCUGCGGGUCGCUGAUGGUGCGAAUCAUACCGUCGACACCAACUGCUACGGCCUUCACGUAGAUCUGGCCACCACCCCACGCUUGCUCGUGGUUGUUGCGUAGGAGUCCGGUCACCGUGUAGCGGUCCAGGCCAAACUCGUUCAUGUUCAUCUCGAUGGGGGCGUAGGCCCUCAUCUCAAUGCCAUCGAGUUCCAUGGGCAGAGCCCAUAGCUCCUGUUCGUCCGGGUCCGGCGGGUAAUCCUUGAGGGUCGAGGGGU
rnacentral:rRNA from 1 species